UACCCGCAGCACAAGUGGUGGUCAUUAUUAUUGGGCCUAAAGCGUCCGUAGCUGGCUUGUUAGAUGCCUGGGUAAAUCGAUGCGCUCAACGUAUCGAAUUCCGGGUAGACCGGCAAGCUCGAGACCGGGAGAGGUGUAGGCUACUCGAGGGGUAGGGGUAAAAUCCUGUAAUCCUUCGGGGAGGACCAGUGGCGAAGGCGCUACACUAGAACGGCUCUGACAGUGAGGGACGAAGCCCUGGGGCGCAAACCGGG
rnacentral:rRNA from 1 species